GACGGAGGGUGCUAGCGUUGUUCGGAAUUACUGGGCGUAAAGGGCGCGUAGGCGGCCGUUCAAGUCGGAUGUGAAAGCCCGGGGCUCAACCUCGGAACGGCAUUCGAAACUGGGCGGCUUGAGGUCGAGAGAGGAAAGUGGAAUACCCAGUGUAGAGGUGAAAUUCGUAGAUAUUGGGUGGAACACCGGUGGCGAAAGCGGCUUUCUGGCUCGAUUCUGACGCUGAGGCGCGAAAGCGUGGGGAGCAAACAGG
rnacentral:rRNA from 1 species